rnacentral:rRNA from 1 species
GAAUGCUGACAUAAGUAACGAUAAAGCGGGUGAAAAGCCCGCUCGCCGGAAGACCAAGGGUUCCUGUCCAACGUUAAUCGGGGCAGGGUGAGUCGACCCCUAAGGCGAGGCCGAAAGGCGUAGUCGAUGGGAAACAGGUUAAUAUUCCUGUACUUGGUGUUACUGCGAAGGGGGGACGGAGAAGGCUAUGUUGGCCGGGCGACGGUUGUCCCGGUUUAAGCGUGUAGGCUGGUUUUCCAGGCAAAUCCGGAAAAUCAAGGCUGAGGCGUGAUGACGAGGCACUACGGUGCUGAAGCAACAAAUGCCCUGCUUCCAGGAAAAGCCUCUAAGCAUCAGGUAACAUCAAAUCG